UAUCCGUCUACUUGUUUUGGACGUGAUGCCUAUAGAUAUGAUCAUUGCCAUAGAUAAUGUCAUGACUUUGCGCGGUUCUAUUAAUUGCUCGACAGUAAUUCGUUCAUCCACCGUCUACUUGCUUUCAUGAGAGAAGCCACUAGUGAACACUACGGCCCCCGGGUCUAUUCACAACUAUCGUCUCCACUUUUACUUUUAC
rnacentral:lncRNA from 1 species